UCGAGCGGUAGCACAGGAGAGCUUGCUCUCUGGGUGACGAGCGGCGGACGGGUGAGUAAUGUCUGGGAAACUGCCCGAUGGAGGGGGAUAACUACUGGAAACGGUAGCUAAUACCGCAUAACGUCUUCGGACCAAAGAGGGGGACCUUCGGGCCUCUUGCCAUCGGAUGUGCCCAGAUGGGAUUAGCUAGUAGGUGGGGUAAUGGCUCACCUAGGCGACGAUCCCUAGCUGGUCUGAGAGGAUGACCAGCCACACUGGAACUGAGACACGGUCCAGACUCCUACGGGAGGCAGCAGUGGGGAAUAUUGCACAAUGGGCGCAAGCCUGAUGCAGCCAUGCCGCGUGUAUGAAGAAGGCCUUCGGGUUGUAAAGUACUUUCAGCGAGGAGGAAGGCGUUGUGGUUAAUAACCGCAGCGAUUGACGUUACUCGCAGAAGAAGCACCGGCUAACUCCGUGCCAGCAGCCGCGGUAAUACGGAGGGUGCAAGCGUUAAUCGGAAUUACUGGGCGUAAAGCGCACGCAGGCGGUCUGUCAAGUCGGAUGUGAAAUCCCCGGGCUCAACCUGGGAACUGCAUUCGAAACUGGCAGGCUAGAGUCUUGUAGAGGGGGGUAGAAUUCCAGGUGUAGCGGUGAAAUGCGUAGAGAUCUGGAGGAAUACCGGUGGCGAAGGCGGCCCCCUGGACAAAGACUGACG
rnacentral:rRNA from 1 species